rnacentral:lncRNA from 1 species
AGCUGCUUGUUUUUGCACCUCCCUCGGGGGGUUUUAUUGGCAUAAUCCUUUAAGCAUGAAUUUAUAGUUUCAGGAGUCCGUGACAUUCAAGGAUGUGUCUGCAGAUUUCAUUUGGGAGGAGUGGCUUCGUCUAGAUUCUGCUCAGAGGAACCUGUAUGGGAAGGGGAUGCUGGAGAACUACAGGGACUUGGUGUCACUGGGUAAGGACCUGCCCUCGUACCUCAAAACCUCCCUGCUGACAGCCUUCCCCACCUCCUGACGCCUUGUACCACCGACCGGUAAAAUUCAGGAAUCUGCCUUGCAAUCCUGCUNNUGCAGAGCAUCGGCUUUCCAAACCAAAUGUGAGUUCUCAGCUGGAACUGGAGGAACUGAGCCGGUGACAAAAGACUUCCAGUGCGCCUCUCUCCAGAUUGUCUUUGAUGUUACUGCCAGACUGCGCGACCAUUUAGCCUUCUUAUCCCGUCCAGAACCAAGACGAGAAAGCGUCGAGGACACAGUGUUUCCCCCGCCACCAUGACUCACUCCUCAUAACCUUCCUGUGGGAUUGGAAGACAAGACUUGAAACCAAAGAAUCAACUACAAAGCCCAACAUUACUGAAG